rnacentral:rRNA from 1 species
ACAUAAGCGUGUAAGACACAUUGAUAGCCUUUUCUCGAGUCUGCGGAUUGUGGUGCAUGGCCGUUCCUAGUUCUUAUUACAAAUAGAUGUUUUAACGGUUAAGGUGUUGAAACUUUUAUGAAAUCUGUUUAUAAAAGUGGAGCCGUAUCUGUUAGUUUGUCCAUUUACAGGAGAAAAUAAUGCGAUUGAGCAAUGACAGCUCUGUAACGCCUUUAGAU